GAAGUUGUAGUUUAGUGGAAAACGUGAGGUUGCAAGCCUUGAAUCGAGCAUACUCCAACUUAU
rnacentral:tRNA from 1 species